GGGCAUUGCUUACAGGGGUCACAGACAUUCAGAUCAUGGCAGAACUGUCACAGAUGUUACUUUGUGAAAACACAAAGAAUAAUGUGUUUGGAGAGAUCAGUCUUCAAUUAGCUAUAUUUUCUAGGAGCCUACCUUUACUUAGCCUCACAACAUGGGCCUUAGCUUUAGCACUUAAUCUGCACAAAUACCUGGCUUAAGUGUUAUGACUGACUGGCUAUUCAACCAAACCAUACAAAUGACCAAUUCGGUAAGAAAGCAUGAACUUCAGUGUUGAACCAAAUCAACCAACCUCCUCAAUCCAAAUGAACAAUGCUAUUCUAGGAGUCUGUGCUAGAAUAAAAUCCUAAUGCAAAGGCUGUCUUAAAAUGCUGAACCCAGAAGAAUUUGGCAUAAAUAAGACAUGGAGUUAGCUGACAUGAGAUAUUACAUUUAUUCCACUGUUGACGAGGACAAAACUGGGCCGCUAUUGUCACAGGAGAGGAUAACAAAGGAAGCUGAGGAAGUCUGUUCUGGAGGCACCAUGACAAAGCACCAGACAGAAAGCAGUCACGUGUGGGGAGAUGAGCAGAGACACCACUUCUCAAGCACCUGAUUAUUCUUUCUCAGUAUUUAGAAGCAAAAAUUAUCCUUAAGAAAAACAACCGCAAACGCAACACAGGCUACACAGAUGAGAAAAUGGGGCUUGCAGAGCUCAAACCAUUACACCAUUCAGAAGCUGGCUUUGGUAUUACUUCAAGUUAUUCAAAACAGUCACCACUUGCUGAGCCUCUGAUGUCUCAUCUGUUGAAUGGAUUUCAAGAGAGAAGGCUGAAAAGGAAGGUGACUGGAAUAUUAAGAACUGUGAGAUAUUCUGAGGAAACUCUAAUUUGUAAAUUGGUAGAAAUGCCAGUAAUUUGUUGGGAAUUGAAGACCCUCUGUAUUCAAGAGCGAAGCUUGGCAGCUGUGCACUGUUGUUUUAUAAAUCAAUAUUACAUCUGAA
rnacentral:lncRNA from 1 species